AGUGAACGCUGGCGGCGCGCUUAACACAUGCAAGUCGAACGAGAACGGAUUAUAGCUUGCUAUAAUUGUCAGCUAAGUGGCGCACGGGUGAGUAAUGUAUAGGUAAUAUGCCUCUUACUAAGGGAUAACAAAUGGAAACGUUUGCUAAUACCUUAUACUCCUUAUUAACAGAAGUUAAUAAGGGAAAGAUUUAUUGGUAAGAGAUUAGCCUGUAUUGUAUCAGUUAGUUGGUGGGGUAAUGGCUUACCAAGACUAUGACACAUAACUGGUUUGAGAGGAUGAUCAGUCACACUGGAACUGAGACACGGUCCAGACUCCUACGGGAGGCAGCAGUGGGGAAUAUUGCACAAUGGACGAAAGUCUGAUGCAGCAGCGCCGCGUGGAGGAUGACACAUUUCGGUGCGUAAACUCCUUUUAUAUGAGAAGAUAAUGACGGUAUUAUAUGAAUAAGCACCGGCUAACUCCGUGCCAGCAGCCGCCGUAAAAC
rnacentral:rRNA from 1 species